rnacentral:rRNA from 1 species
GAUGAACGCUGGCGGCGUGCCUAAUACAUGCAAGUCGAGCGAACAGACGAGGAGCUUGCUCCUCUGACGUUAGCGGCGGACGGGUGAGUAACACGUGGAUAACCUACUUAUAAGACUGGGAUAACUUCGGGAAACCGGAGCUAAUACCGGAUAAUAUAUUGAACCGCAUGGUUCAAUAGUGAAAGACGGUUUUGCUGUCACUUAUAGAGGGAUCCGCGCCGCAUUAGCUAGUUGGUAAGGUAACGGCUUACCAAGGCAACGAUGCGUAGCCGACCUGAGAGGGUGGUCGGCGACCCUGGAACUUGACCGCGGACCAGGCUACUGAGGGAGGCAGCAGUAGGGAAUCUGCCGCAAUAGGCGGAAGCAUGACGGAGCAGGGGCGCGUGAGAUGUAACGAUCUCCGGAUCGGAAAGCUCUGUUAUUAGGUGAGAACCAAUGUGGAAGUAAAUAUGCACGUCUUGACGGUAACGGAUCAGAAAGCCACGGCUAACUACGUG